CAUAUUCCAAGCUCCACAGCUGAUUUUCCAGAUUUUCAUAUCCUCAGGCUUAUGAAAUGCUGAUCCAGAAGGAACACACCAUCACUCUGUGCUAACUCCUUUCUUUGUGCAGCUCCAGGCAGGGAGCAGCGAGGCUGGACACAGCACAGGGCUGAGACCUCUGGAGGGACUGGACAGAAGAAAUCUGACUCCCACAGAAAACUAAGGUCUUGAUUUUAUAUCAAACCUAAUGGCAGACACCCAGCAGCGUCUUUAUAUCAGGCCCUGGAAAAUGUAAAACUACGGCAGGAAGCACAGGUUUAAAUUAUGUCAGACAAGAUCAGACAGUGCCUGG
rnacentral:lncRNA from 1 species